UACGGAGGGUGCAAACGUUGUCCGGAAUCACUGGGCGUAAAGAGCAUGUAGGUGGCUUUGUAAGUGGACGAUUAAAGACCGAUGCUUAACAUCGGGACUGUUGUCCAUACUGCAUGGCUAGAGGAUGAUAGGGGCAAGCGGAAUUUUAGGUGUAGGGGUGAAAUCCGUAGAUAUCUAAAGGAACACCAAUGGCGAAGGCAGCUUGCUGGGUCAUAUCUGACACUGAGAUGCGAAAGCGUGGGGAGCGAACGGG
rnacentral:rRNA from 1 species